GUUUGAUCAUGGCUCAGAUUGAACGCUGGCGGCAUGCUUUACACAUGCAAGUCGAACGGGGGUGGGGGCAACUCCACUUCAGUGGCGAACGGGUGAGUAAUGCAUCGGAACGUGUCCCGCAGUGGGGGAUAACGCCGCGAAAGCGGCGCUAAUACCGCAUACGCUCUGUGGAGCAAAGCCGGGGACCCGCAAGGGCCUGGUGCUGGGGGAGCGGCCGAUGUCCGAUUAGCUAGUUGGUGGGGUAAUGGCUCACCAAGGCAACGAUCGGUAGCUGGUCUGAGAGGAUGAUCAGCCACACUGGGACUGAGACACGGCCCAGACUCCUACGGGAGGCAGCAGUGGGGAAUUUUGGACAAUGGGGGCAACCCUGAUCCAGCCAUGCCGCGUGCGGGAAGAAGGCCUUCGGGUUGUAAACCGCUUUUAGCCGGGAAGAAAAGGCGCGGGCGAAUACCCCGUGUUUUUGACGGUACCGGCGGAAUAAGCACCGGCUAACUACGUGCCAGCAGCCGCGGUAAUACGUAGGGUGCGAGCGUUAAUCGGAAUUACUGGGCGUAAAGCGUGCGCAGGCGGUUCGUUGUGUCGGUGGUGAAAGCCCCGGGCUUAACCUGGGAAUGGCCAUGGAAACUGGCGAACUGGAGUGUGGCAGAGGGGGGUGGGAAUUCCGCGUGUAGCAGUGAAAUGCGUAGAGAUGCGGAGGAACACCGAUGGCGAAGGCAGCCCCCCGGGGCUAGCACUGACGCUCAGGCACGAAAGCGUGGGGAGCAAAAC
rnacentral:rRNA from 1 species